CCUACGGGAGGCAGCAGUGGGGAAUAUUGGGCAAUGGGCGAAAGCCUGACCCAGCAACGCCGCGUGCAGGAAGAAGGCUUUCGGGUUGUAAACUUCUUUUGAUAGGGAAGAGCAGAAGACGGUACCUGUCGAAUAAGCCACGGCUAACUACGUGCCAGCAGCCGCGGUAAUACGUAGGUGGCAAGCGUUGUCCGGAUUUACUGGGUGUAAAGGGCGUGUAGCCGGGCUGAGAAGUCAGAUGUGAACGCCGGGGGCUCAACCCCCGAACUGCAUUUGAAACUGUUGGUCUUGAGGAUCGGAGAGGCAGGCGGAAUUCCUAGUGUAGCGGUGAAAUGCGUAGAUAUUAGGAGGAACACCAGUGGCGAAGGCGGCCUGCUGGACGACAACUGACGGUGAGGCGCGAAAGCGUGGGGAGCAAACAGGAUUAGAUACCCCGGUAGUC
rnacentral:rRNA from 1 species